UCCUUGGUGGCUCAGAUGGUAAAGCGUCUGCCUACAAUGCGGGAUACCCAGGUUCAGUCCCUGGGUCAGGAA
rnacentral:tRNA from 1 species